rnacentral:tRNA from 1 species
UGGGAUGUAGCUCAGUGGUAGAGUGCUUACCUAACAUGCACAAGGCCCUGUUUUUUUUUUUUGUUGUUUGUUUGUUUUGUUUUUUAAUAAUGUGUUUUCCUUUUAAAAAAUAUUUUUAGUUGUAGAUGGACACAAUACUUUUAUAUUGUUCAUUUAGUUUUUUAUGCGGUGCUGGGAUUGAACCCAGUGCCUCGA